rnacentral:piRNA from 1 species
UCCCUUUGCAGCGUGGUGCAGGAAGAGGA